AUGCUACUCCCUCCGUUCCGAAUUAGCCGUCACAGAAAUGGAUGUAUGUAGAUGUAUCUUAGUUCUAGAUACAUCCAUUUCUACGACGAGUAAUUUGAUACGGAGGGAGUACUUU
rfam:Triticum urartu cultivar G1812 contig951080, whole genome shotgun sequence.